AGCUGAGUUUGAUCCUGGCUCAGAUUGAACGCUGGCGGCAUGCCUUACGCAUGCAAGUCGAACGGUAACAGGUUAAGCUGACGAGUGGCGAACGGGUGAGUAAUACAUCGGAACGUGCCCGAUCGUGGGGGAUAACGGAGCGAAAGCUUUGCUAAUACCGCAUAAGAUCUACGGAUGAAAGCAGGGGACCGCAAGGCCUUGCGCGAACGGAGCGGCUGAUGGCG
rnacentral:rRNA from 1 species